rnacentral:SRP_RNA from 11 species
GGAGACAGCGGCGGGGGUUUCCCGCUAUUUCCCUUUGUAUCCUCGCCCGCUCCGGCGGUAUCCACCCCCCCGGCCGGUGCGGGCCGUGACAGCGGGAGCUGGAACCUUGGCAGCAUGACGACCCCGCUCGCCGCGAACUGCCAACCGGCAAGCCGCGUGUUGUAAGGCCCUGAAGCCAGCAGCGCGAGGCGCGUGUCGUGGGUGUAUAUGCACCAAG